UUACUCUGACUUAUCUUCAGAACGCAUAAAUCUUUUGGCUUUUACUAAAGAUUUCCGUGGACAGGAUCAGUAAGAGUUUAAUUUCUAUUUUCUGUUGGCAAUGAGUAAGUCUGCCA